AUAGCAACAACAACAAAAAAGACAAAAGACAAAAAAAAAAAAAGAAAGAAAAGAACUUGGGUACAGAAAGGACACCAUUUACUCUGAGGAGGAACCUGCAGUGCCUUCUGGUGGCCAAAGGAUGUUACACACACCACUUGCAUAUUCAGGCCGUGGCUGCUGCAUUUGCCCAUUUUUCAGCAAAACUGUGCAAGGGCGAACCAAGUGAUGUCCAAGUGGACCACCUGCAUGCCAUCCAUGUUCAUCUCUACCGUCGCUGUGUCACAGCAGACUCAUCUCCUCCUAUUGAUCAGAGUCUUUACCUGCCAGUCUCUCAGGAUGAGAAACCCAGUCACCCUCUGGGAGCCAAGACCUCUAACUCUGCAGUGCCCAGGACUGUGGAGCAGAAAGCACAAGUUUCCAAAGUGGACCACUUGGAAUAAUGACAAGUGGGAACUCUCUUAUUUUUACUGCAUAACCUCCAGGCCCAAGUGGUCUGCCUGCUGGGGACACUGCACCAUGUAAGGAUUGGUAAGGGAGCGUAUACUCUGUCCAGGAGGAUAGCACACCCUUCUCACAUGGUUUCCACUUCAGCCAGCACCUCAGCUACGCCUUCAGGGGGCAUUCCACUGUCUAUCAAGAUGGCAUAUUCUGGGUGUUCUGGUAUGUGAAGGACCAGCGGAUCCCAUGGUGAUGGGCUCACUUCUCCAUCUCUGGUGCUGUCAAGUGAUCCCCUUGGUCCAGUGCUCUGUUAUCAGAGAUCUCAUUUCUGUGGAUGAAAUGUGGACUUCUUUCAUCUUCCCUAUUCCUUCCACUGUGUACAAACAAAAACUCAGACAUAGAAGACUGAACAGUGGAGAAAAGGAGUCUGACUAGCUGGAGACCCAGGGGCCUGAGGAUCAACACAAUGCCUAAAAUCCCCACCAUGAGCAAUAAAGGAAACAGAAACAGAAAAUACAAAUCAGAAGCAACUCUGCUCAAGGUCAGUAAUCUUCAAAAUGCAAAUGUCACCUAUUUUUACAGAGGCAAAUACCAAGCAUAAAACAUUUCCAGAACAAGACUCCAGCAGCAGCCAGCUCCCUAUAAGGAGGCAAGGAUGGAUUCCAAACUUAAUGCCCACUUAAAGGACUUAUGUGUGCUGUGUUGGAGCAGACACUGCAAACCUGAAAAGGACGUAAAGCUGGCCUCUGACAAACCCUCUUGAUCAGCUGAACCCUCUCCUUAAGCUCCUGGAGCCCCCUGCUCACAUGACCUUUCCAGGCACCCAGAACCCCACUGUCCCCAUGUCUACCAAACACAACCCAGGUCAGCUUCCUCUUCCUGCUGCCUCCAGGCCUUCCAUAAACCCUCCAUCCUUGUCCAUCCUGCCUUCCUCAGGAUCUAGCAGCA